rnacentral:rRNA from 1 species
GACGAACCGUGCGAACGUUGUUCGGAAUCACUGGGCUUAAAGGGCGCGUAGGCGGGCGGAGAAGUCAGGGGUGAAAUCUUUCGGCUCAACCGGAAAAUAGCUUCUGAUACUGGCCGUCUCGAGGGAGGUAGGGGCAUGUGGAACUUCCGGUGGAGCGGUGAAAUGCGUUGAUAUCGGAAGGAACGCCGGUGGCGAAAGCGACGUGCUGGACCUCUUCUGACGCUGAGGCGCGAAAGCUAGGGGAGCGAACGGG